ensembl:lncRNA
CUCCUUCAGAAGCAGAAACCAGAACUCUUAAUUGGAGAGAAGUGAUAUUGGUUUUCAGUUGUAAAAUGCAUCCCCUUGAAGAUAAGGAAGCUGAGGUAUGGAAUUGUCUCUGGUCACACAGGGAAUAGCUCGUGGAACCAGUGGAGAGAGGAUGCAAAUAUGAGAUGUCUGACCCUGUUCCAACAUUCUUUAUCUCUGGUCUCAACUUCUUUAUCAAUAAGAUAUAUUGUAUCAUCUUUAUUGUAAAGUAAAAUAAAUAAUAAAA